rnacentral:rRNA from 1 species
AACGAACGCUGGCGGCAUGCCUAACACAUGCAAGUCGAACGAGACCUUCGGGUCUAGUGGCGCACGGGUGCGUAACGCGUGGGAACCUGCCCUUAGGUUCGGAAUAACUCCCCGAAAGGGGUGCUAAUACCGGAUAAUGUCCUCGGACAAAAGAUUUAUCGCCGUUGGAUGGGCCCGCGUUGGAUUAGCUAGUUGGUAGGGUAAAAGCCUACCAAGGCGACGAUCCAUAGCUGGUCUGAGAGGAUGAUCAGCCACACUGGGACUGAGACACGGCCCAGACUCCUACGGGAGGCAGCAGUGGGGAAUAUUGGACAAUGGGCGAAAGCCUGAUCCAGCAAUGCCGCGUGAGUGAUGAAGGCCUUAGGGUUGUAAAGCUCUUUUACCCGGGAUGAUAAUGACAGUACCGGGAGAAUAAGCUCCGGCUAACUCCGUG